AACGAACGCUGGCGGCAGGCCUAACACAUGCAAGUCGAGCGAGGACUUCGGUUCUAGCGGCGGACGGGUGAGUAACGCGUGGGAAUGUGCCCUUCUCUACGGAAUAGCCCUGGGAAACUGGGAGUAAUACCGUAUACGCCCUAUUGGGGAAAGAUUUAUCGGAGAAGGAUCAGCCCGCGUUGGAUAAGGUAGUUGGUGGGGUAAUGGCCUACCAAGCCGACGAUCCAUAGCUGGUUUGAGAGGAUGAUCAGCCACACUGGGACUGAGACACGGCCCAGACUCCUACGUGAGGCAGCAGUGGGGAAUCAUAGACAAUGGGGGCAACCCUGAGCUAGCCAUGCCGCGUGAGUGAUGAAGGCCUUAGGGUUGUAAAGCUCUUUCAGCUGUGAAGAUAAUGACGGUACCAGCAGAAGAAGCCCCGGCUAACUCCGUG
rnacentral:rRNA from 1 species